UCCGAGUUCCCGUACGAACACCAAAGUUAAGCAACUUUGAGCGUUGUCAGUAACGAGAUGGGUGACCGCUUGGGAAUACCAGGUGCUGUAAG